UCUAUUCUACCACAAAUUUGAAUAAUCCAAAAAAAGGAAUAAAUUCACAUUUUAUUUUUACACUUUGUCUAAAGAACUCUACAUUUUUGAAUACAUUAAGAAAUUGAACAAGAUUACAAAAAUAAUAUCUCAAGAAUGUGGUUUCCUCAUAGUUGGCAAGUGUGUUCUUGUCCUUUUCUUCUUGUCUUCAUAUGCAGCAGUAACUUGGUUUUGGACAUAUUUUGUCCUAUAUACAGAAAUCACAGUAAAUUAACAAUAUUAAGGAAACAAGUACAAAGACCUAAAAGCCAACUCAUAAAGUGAUAUAACAGAUCUUGAUACUUUGUGGCACAUAAGGAAGUUUGUAUCAAAAUGGCAAGAUAACAUAUCACAUUUUAAAAAGUUUUUCAUUAUUAUUACCAUGGAUAAUAUCUCAGCAACAACACAUAUCAGUUUGAAACCUCAAUCUUUGAAUAUAAAAUCAGCACCACAUAUCAGAAUUGGGGAGGAAAAAAAAAGAGAAAAAAAAGGAGAACAACCAUCAUCAGAACCUUAAAGCACAACAUAAUAAUUUUUUUCCAAGAAUCCCAUAUUAGUUUUUCAAAAAAAUAAGCACUUAACAGAUAAAAAAUAAACCCUACUGAUAAAAAAAUCCCAGUUUUUGUUAAAAAAAAGUACAUGAAUCCAUGAACGGAGGCAAAGUUUCAGAAGUAAGAUACCUGAGAAUCAACCACAACGUCUAAAAAUCCUUCCACCAGUUCAGGUUAGUGUUGAUCCCUCCUUUUGUUUUUCUUGUUGUGUGUUGUUGUGUCGAUCUAAUGUGCAUCAUAGGGGCAUAAUUUAUGGGUUUUUCUGAGGUUUGAAAUUUUGUUUUUCUUAAGAAGUUGGAAUUUAGGAUAGUGUUAAGGAUUUAAUGGGCAUGGUUAAUGCUUUCCCUUUU
rnacentral:lncRNA from 1 species